rnacentral:rRNA from 1 species
CUCCUACGGGAGGCAGCAGUGGGGGAUAUUGCACAAUGGGGGAAACCCUGAUGCAGCGACGCCGCGUGGAGGAAGAAGGUUUUCGGAUUGUAAACUCCUGUCGUUAGGGACGAUAAUGACGGUACCUAACAAGAAAGCACCGGCUAACUACGUGCCAGCAGCCGCGGUAAAACGUAGGGUGCAAGCGUUGUCCGGAAUUACUGGGUGUAAAGGGAGCGCAGGCGGACCGGCAAGUUGGAAGUGAAAACUAUGGGCUCAACUCAUAAAUUGCUUUCAAAACUGCUGGCCUUGAGUAGUGCAGAGGUAGGUGGAAUUCCCGGUGUAGCGGUGGAAUGCGUAGAUAUCGGGAGGAACACCAGUGGCGAAGGCGACCUACUGGGCACCAACUGACGCUGAGGCUCGAAAGCAUGGGUAGCAAACAGGAUUAGAUACCCUGGUAGUCCAUGCCGUAAACGAUGAUUACUAGGUGUUGGAGGAUUGACCCCUUCAGUGCCGCAGUUAACACAAUAAGUAAUCCACCUGGGGAGUACGACCGCAAGGUUGAAACUCAAAGGAAUUGACGGGGGCCCGCACAAGCAGUGGAUUAUGUGGUUUAAUUCGAAGCAACGCGAAGAACCUUACCAGGUCUUGACAUCCGAUGCAUAACUUAGAGAUAAGUGAAAUCCCUUCGGGGACAUCGAGACAGGUGGUGCAUGGUUGUCGUCAGCUCGUGUCGUGAGAUGUUGGGUUAAGUCCCGCAACGAGCGCAACCCCUAUUGAUAGUUGCUACGCAAGAGCACUCUAUCGAGACUGCCGUUGACAAAACGGAGGAAGGUGGGGAUGACGUCAAAUCAUCAUGCCCUUUAUGACCUGGGCUACACACGUAAUACAAUGGCGCAAAACAGAGGGAAGCAAGACCGCGAGGUGGAGCAAAACCCUAAAAGGCGUCUUAGUUCAGAUUGCAGGCUGCAACUCGCCUGCAUGAAGGUGGAAUUGCUAGUAAUCGCGGAUCAGCAUGCCGCGGUGAAUACGUUCCCGGGCCUUGUACACACCGC